rnacentral:rRNA from 1 species
GACGAACGCUGGCGGCGUGCUUAACACAUGCAAGUCGAACGGAAAGGCCCUGCUUUUGUGGGGUGCUCGAGUGGCGAACGGGUGAGUAACACGUGAGUAACCUGCCCUUGACUUUGGGAUAACUUCAGGAAACGGGGGCUAAUAUCGGAUAGGAGCUCCUGCUCCAUGGUGGGGGUUGGAAAGUUUCGGCGGUUGGGGAUGGACUGGCGGCUUAUCAGCUUGUUGGUGGGGUAGUGGCUUACCAAGGCUUUGACGGGUAGCCGGCCUGAGAGGGUGACCGGCCACAUUGGGACUGAGAUACGGCCCAGACUCCUACGGGAGACAGCAGUGGGGAAUAUUGCACAAUGGGCGGAAGCCUGAUGCAGCAACGCCGCGUGCGGGAUGACGGCCUUCGGGUUGUAAACCGCUUUCGCCUGUGACGAAGCGUGAGUGACGGUAAUGGGUAAAGAAGCACCGGCUAACUACGUG